rnacentral:rRNA from 1 species
AUUGAACGCUGGCGGCAGGCCUAACACAUGCAAGUCGAACGAGUGGAGGACGGGGGAGUAAUGUUGGGGAACCUGCCCGAAAGAGGGGGAUAACAGCUGGAAACGGUAGGUAAAACCGAAGACAAGGGGAUGUGCGCAGAGUGGAUUGGCUGGUAGGUGAGGUAACGGCUCACCUAGGCGAGGAUCCCUAGCUGGUCUGAGAGGAUGAGCAGCCACACUGGGACUGAGACACGGUCCAGACUCCUACGUGAGGCAGCAGUGGGGAAUAUUGCACAAUGGGCGCAAGCCUGAUGCAGCCAUGCCGCGUGUAUGAAGAAGGCCUUCGGGUUGUAAAGUACUUUCAGCAGGGAGGCGUUACCCACAGAAGAAGCACCGGCUAACUCCGUGCCAGCAGCCGCGGUAAUAC